UGUCAGGGUCAGUCCAAGUGAAAGCAAAGAGAGGCUGGGAUGACGGGUUCAAAGGAAUAGUAAAGAAAGCAUGUUUGAGAUCCAAAACAGAAUAAUGGAUUGUGGAGGGAGGUAUUGAGGAUAGGAGAGUAUAUGGGUUUGGCACCAUGGGGUGGAUAGGCAAAACAAUUUGGUUGAUAAGGCAUAGAUCCUGAACUAACUUGUAAGGCUUGCUUGGUUUUAGGACAGGUAAAAUGGGGGAAUGGUAAGGAGAGUUUAUAGGCUUUAAAAGGCCAUGCUGUAGCAGGCAAGUGAUAACAGGCUUUAACCCUUUCAAAGCAUGCUGUGGGAUGGGAUAUUGGCAUUAAUCGGGGUAAAGGUGGUUAGGUUUUAAUGAGAUGGUAAGGGAUGCAUGAUCGGUCACCAAGGAGGGAGUAGAGGUAUCUUAUAUUUGUGGGUUAAGGUGGGGGAAUAUAAGAGGAGGACGCAAAGGAGGCUUUGGACUGGGAAGAAGGGCAGCAAUGAGAUGUAGCUGUAAUCCAGGAAUAGUCAGGGAAGCAGAUAAUUUAGUUAAAGUGGCUCGCCCUAAUAAGGGAACUGGGCAGGUGUGGAUAACUAAAAUGAGUGCUUAAAAGAGUAUUGUCUAAGUUGCCACCAGAGUUGGGGAGUUUUAAGAGGUUUAGAAGCCUGGCUGUCAAUACCCACAACAGUUAUGGAGGCAAGGGAAACAGGCCCUUGAAAAGAAGGUAAUGUAGAGUGGGUAGCCUCCGUAUUGAUUAAGAAGGGGACGGACUUACUUUCCACUGUGAGAGUUACGCGAAGCUCGGCGUCUGUGAUGGUCUAGGGGGCUUCCAAGGCAGUCGGGCAGCAUCAGUCUUCAGCCGCUAAGCCAAGAAGAUCUGGGAAGCAGUCAGAGAGCCUUGGGCCAGAGUUCCAGGGGCUCUGGGAGUGGCUGCCAGUGGUCUCAAAUAGUCAAGACCCCCUGCUGGGAGGAGCUUCUAUCCUGCUCUGUGGAA
ensembl:lncRNA CYP1B1-AS1 CYP1B1 antisense RNA 1